rnacentral:rRNA from 1 species
GAUGAACGCUAGCGGCAGGCUUAAUACAUGCAAGUCGUGGGGUAGAGAGGUGCUUGCACUUCUUGAGACCGGCAAACGGGUGCGGAACACGUACACAACCUUCCUUUUAGAGGGGGAUAGCCCAGGGAAACUUGGAUUAAUACCCCGUAAGAUGUUGGUGAGGCAUCUCACUGAUAUUAUAGCAGCGAUGCGCUAGAAGACGGGUGUGCGUAUGAUUAGGUAGUUGGCGGGGUAAUGGCCCACCAAGCCUACGAUCAUUAACUGGUGGGAGAGCGCGACCAGUCACACGGGAACGGAGCCACGGGCCCGACUCCUACGGGAGGCAGCAGUAAGGAAUAUUGGUCAAUGGACGCAAGUCUGAACCAGCCAUGCCGCGUGGAGGAUGAAGGUCCUCUGGAUUGUAAACUUCUUUUAUCUGGGGCGAAAAAGGGGAAUUCUUUCUCAACUGACGGUACCAGAUGAAUAAGCACCGGCUAACUCCGUGCCAGCCGCCGCCGUAACAC